GACGAACGCUGGCGGCGUGCUUAACACAUGCAAGUCGAACGGUGAAGCUCCAGCUUGCUGGGGUGGAUCAGUGGCGAACGGGUGAGUAACACGUGAGCAACCUGCCCCUGACUCUGGAAUAAGCGCUGGAAACGGCGUCUAAUACUGGAUACGAGAAGGGUCCGCAUGGGCACUUUCUGGAAAGUUUUUCGGUUGGGGAUGGGCUCGCGGCUUAUCAGCUUGUUGGUGAGGUAAUGGCUCACCAAGGCGACGACGGGUAGCCGGCCUGAGAGGGCGACCGGCCACACUGGGACUGAGACACGGCCCAGACUCCUACGGGAGGCAGCAGUGGGGAAUAUUGCACAAUGGGCGAAAGCCUGAUGCAGCGACGCCGCGUGAGGGAUGACGGCCUUCGGGUUGUAAACCGCUUUCAGCAGGGAAGAAGCGAAAGUGACGGUACCUGGAGAAGAAGCACCGGCUAACUACGUG
rnacentral:rRNA from 1 species